UACGGAGGGUGCGAGCGUUAAUCGGAAUUACUGGGCGUAAAGGGUGCGUAGGUUGUUGUAUAAGUUAUCUGUGAAAUCCCCGGGCUCAACCUGGGAAUGGCAAUGGAGACUGCAAGGCUAGAGUUUGGCAGAGGGGGGUAGAAUUCCACGUGUAGCAGUGAAAUGCGUAGAUAUGUGGAGGAACACCGAUGGCGAAGGCAGCCCCCUGGGUCAAAACUGACGCUCAUGCACGAAAGCGUGGGGAGCAAACAGG
rnacentral:rRNA from 1 species